rnacentral:rRNA from 1 species
GAUGGACGCUGGCGGCGUGCUUAACACAUGCAAGUCGAACGGGAUUUAUUUUAUUGAAACUUCGGUCGAUUUAAUUUAAUUCUAGUGGCGGACGGGUGAGUAACGCGUGGGUAACCUGCCUUAUACAGGGGGAUAACAGUCAGAAAUGGCUGCUAAUACCGCAUAAGCGCACAGAGCUGCAUGGCUCAGUGUGAAAAACUCCGGUGGUAUAAGAUGGACCCGCGUUGGAUUAGCUUGUUGGCAGGGUAACGGCCUACCAAGGCGACGAUCCAUAGCCGGCCUGAGAGGGUGAACGGCCACAUUGGGACUGAGACACGGCCCAGACUCCUACGGGAGGCAGCAGUGGGGAAUAUUGCACAAUGGGGGAAACCCUGAUGCAGCGACGCCGCGUGAAGGAAGAAGUAUCUCGGUAUGUAAACUUCUAUCAGCAGGGAAGAUAGUGACGGUACCUGACUAAGAAGCCCCGGCUAACUACGUG